rfam:Ictidomys tridecemlineatus contig072317, whole genome shotgun sequence.
UGGGUUGUGCUUCAGUGGUAGAGUACUUACCUGGUAUGUAUGAGGCCCUGGGUUCCAUCCCCAGCACCUCAA